rnacentral:tRNA from 1 species
GGGGAUUUAGCUCAGUGGUAGAGCGCUUGCCUAGCAAGCGCAAGGCCCUGAGUUCCGUCCCCAGCUCCGAAAAAAAAGGAAAAAAAAAAGAACACUGACUACUCUUCCAGAGGUCCUGAGUUCAAAUCCCAGCAACUUCG